rnacentral:rRNA from 1 species
GGGCCCGCACAAGCGGUGGAGCAUGUGGUUCAAUUCGAAGCAACGCGCAGAACCUUACCAGCCCUUGACAUGUCCUCUAUGGAUUCCAGAGACGGAGUCCUUCACUUCGGGUGGGAGGAACACAGGUGCUGCAUGGCUGUCGUCAGCUCGUGUCGUGAGAUGUUGGGUUAAGUCCCGCAACGAGCGCAACCCUCGCCCUUAGUUGCCAUCAUUUAGUUGGGCACUCUAAGGGGACUGCCGGUGAUAAGCCGGAGGAAGGUGGGGAUGACGUCAAGUCCUCAUGGCCCUUACGGGCUGGGCUACACACGUGCUACAAUGGCGGUGACAGAGGGAUGCAAAGGGGCGACCCUUCGCAAAUCUCAAAAAGCCGUCUCAGUUCGGAUUGGGGUCUGCAACUCGACCCCAUGAAGUUGGAAUCGCUAGUAAUCGCAGAUCAGCACGCUGCGGUGAAUACGUUCCCGGGCCUU